rnacentral:lncRNA from 1 species
UUUUCAACGUCUAAAGCUUUCUUUGCUACAGAAUGAGCAGCUAUAUUACAGCCCCUUGGAGCAAAUUGGAUUGAUGCUUGGCUCUGGAUCCUAAGCCUUGUCUGGAUUUCUGCAAUAAUCCAUUCAAUUUCUGACUUGCUUUCCUUUCUGUUUAAUGAAAGAUCCACCACCUCCUUUGAAUCUGACUCAAUGACCAUUGGCACACAAGC